GGGCGCCUAGCUCAGUUGGUAGAGCAGCUGACUCUUAAUCAGCGGGUCGUAGGUUCGAAUCCCACGGCGCCCACCA
rnacentral:tRNA from 2 species